CUCUAUCGUGCAAGAUUCUAUAUUUUUGACCCUGUGUGUCUCAUUCCUCCCUCACUUCCCAAUUCUUCCUUUUUCCCCGUUCGAUACCCACUCUUUCCUUCCUCUGUAACUCCAUCUAUCUCUCCUUCACUCACAUCGUCUCUCCGUCCCUCUCUGCUUGUCACCUCUUUGUCUUCAAGAGAUGUCAUAGCUCAUUAGAACUAGGAGGGCGAUGACUUCAACACUUAGUCUGACGACUACACCUAAUACUGCCACCACUGCUCCAGCAGAGAUGGACGAUAGGCUGGUGAAUCUGAUUGACCUAGUUGGUUCUCUAGUCCUACAAGUGCCUGCAUCAUUGACUUCUUCGGUGGCACUACCUGUUGGCACUCGACAUGCUCAUCGGCUCCCCCGCACUCCGGACCAGAUGUCGCCAUUGGGAUCCGCAACCGAUGCCUCGGGUACAUGGUCAG